rnacentral:tRNA from 1 species
AUUUAUAUAGUUUAAAAAACAUUUUAUUUUCAUUAAAAAAAAAGAUUAAAAAAAUCUUAUAAAUU